rfam:Listeria grayi DSM 20601 genomic scaffold SCAFFOLD1, whole genome shotgun sequence.
CUCUUAUUAUGAGUGGUAGAGGGACUGGCCCGAUGAAACCCAGCAACCUUUCAAUUUUUUAUUGAAAAGGUGCUAAUUCCUGCAAAGCUUCAGUAAGCUUUGAGAGAUAAGAG